rnacentral:rRNA from 1 species
AAUAUUGGACAAUGGGGGAAACCCUGAUCCAGCCAUGCCGCGUGUGUGAAGAAGGCCUUUUGGUUGUAAAGCACUUUAAGCAGUGAAGAAGACUCCUNGGUUAAUACCCGUGGACGAUGACAUUAGCUGCAGAAUAAGCACCGGCUAACUCUGUGCCAGCAGCCGCGGUAAUACAGAGGGUGCAAGCGUUAAUCGGAAUUACUGGGCGUAAAGGGAGCGUAGGUGGCUCGAUAAGUCAGAUGUGAAAUCCCCGGGCUCAACCUGGGAACUGCAUCUGAUACUGUUGAGCUAGAGUAUGUGAGAGGAAGGUAGAAUUCCAGGUGUAGCGGUGAAAUGCGUAGAGAUCUGGAGGAAUACCGAUGGCGAAGGCAGCCUUCUGGCAUAAUACUGACACUGAGGCUCGAAAGCGUGGGUAGCAAACAGGAUUAGAUACCCUGGUAGUCCACGCCGUAAACGAUGUCUACUAGUCGUUGGGUCCCUUGAGGACUUAGUGAUCGCAGCUAACGC